UCCUUCCUUUACCUUAAGAAUAAACAGGCUUACAAAAUCUUAACUUACAAAACCUUUCAUUGGUGGCUUUCCAUUUUGAAGUUUCCUCAUAAAGUGGUUGACAGUUUAAUCAUUUUUAUUGUAGCAUUGCGGGAAGUUUUUCCUCCAGAAUCCAAAAAGAUUUUAGAGUUAGUGGCGGAUCCAGAAAUUUUCUCAAGGGGGUCCACUGACUGCAUAAUUGGUGUGUGUGUGGGGGGG
rnacentral:lncRNA from 1 species